rnacentral:misc_RNA from 1 species
GAAAUGCGAUAAGUAAUGUGAAUUGCAGAAUUCAGUGAAUCAUCGAAUCUUUGAACGCACAUUGCGCCCGCCAGUAUUCUGGCGGGCAUGCCUGUCCGAGCGUCAUUUCAACCCUCGAACCCCUCCGGGGGGUCGGCGUUGGGGAUCGGGAACCCCUAAGACGGGAUCCCGGCCCCGAAAUACAGUGGCGGUCUCGCCGCAGCCUCUCCUGCGCAGUAGUUUGCACAACUCGCACCGGGAGCGCGGCGCGUCCACGUCCGUAAAACACCCAACUUCUGAAAUGUUGACCUCGGAUCAGGUAGGAAUACCCGCUGAACUUAA